rnacentral:rRNA from 1 species
AUUGAACGCUGGCGGCAUGCCUUACACAUGCAAGUCGAACGGUAACGCGGGGCAACCUGGCGACGAGUGGCGAACGGGUGAGUAAUGUAUCGGAACGUGCCCAGUUGUGGGGGAUAACUGCUCGAAAGAGCAGCUACUACCGCAUACGACCUGCGGGUGAAAGCGGGGGAUCGCAAGACCUCGCGCAAUUGCACGGGCCGAUAUCAGAUUAGGUAGUUGGUGGGGUAAAGGCCUACCAAGCCUACGAUCUGUAGCUGGUCUGAGAGGACGACCAGCCACACUGGGACUGAGACACGGCCCAGACUCCUACGGGAGGCAGCAGUGGGGAAUUUUGGACAAUGGGGGAAACCCUGAUCCAGCCAUGCCGCGUGCGGGAAGAAGGCCUUCGGGUUGUAAACCGCUUUUGUCAGGGAAGAAAUCCUUUGAACUAAUACUUCGGAGGGAUGACGGUACCUGAAGAAUAAGCACCGGCUAACUACGUGCCAGCCGCCGCCGUAA